GUCUCCUUCUCCAGCCUCCCUCCCCAAGUUUGCUAAGGGUGCUUAUUUUAACCCGGUUUUGGUUACAAACACCCCCUCCCUCCCUCGCUCGCUCUCUCCCGUCAGGCUCUGGUUACCAGAUCCGCGUUUACUUUCGAAAAAUCUAAGAUCGCCACAUCCGAGGACACAUGUCUUAAGGAGGCGAUGAGCUUUCCGGGUUUUUUUGUAAAAAAUGUUCUUUAUGUAGUUUUCUUUUAAAAGCCAGCGUUUCGGAGCAAGCCCCGGCGCCCCACUUUGGAGAAGUCGGGGUGAAGCCCCCCGGAACACCCUCGCUCUGGCAGAGAAGCUGGCUCUGGCUCGGCCAUCUGCGGGCUCCGCCGCGUCCUCCCUACUUUUCUCCCCCUCUUAAAUGCAGUUAAAAUGGCUGAAUUCCGGCUUUUAAUUAAAAACAGCCUAUAAUCGAAAACGUCUCGGCGUCCCUGGCUCCCCCGCCGCCUGCCGGGAACCGAGAAGGGAACCGACGCCCCUCGGCCCGGCUGGGAGGGCUGGAGCGGGGCUGGGAACUCAGGUGGGCGCCCGGGGCGCAGUGGCCUGCCCCCACCCCUCCCGGGGCGCCCCCAUCUCGCCGGCCCCGGUCCCCGAUUCCGUUCUCGGCGGCCGGGAAACUGCGGGGAUGCCCCGGCGCCCCCGGAGGGGGAGGCGGGAUCGGGGACGAGCUGGAGAAGUUUGGAGACCAUCGCGCCCGGCCAGGGAUGGGAGGGCGGCCCGGCGGCGUACCUGGCGCGGCGGGGCUCCCGGCUCCGGGCUCCGGCGACGGCGACUCCGGUGGCGGCCCCGGCUCCCGGCGCGGUUAGGCGCCCGUGCUGCCCGCCAUCCCGCGGCCGCUGCUCCCCUUCGCCACCCGCAGCCGCCUCACACUUUUUGCCCGCCUUUCCUUUUUUUGGUAGAAAACCGCUCCCCGGGCCGAGCGCUCGGCGCGCCAACUCCUCCGCCCUCCCGCGGCCGGGCUCCCGCAGCCCCCGGAAAAGCCAGCUUUCCUCCCGCCGAGCUCCCCGCUUUUUAAUAAAAUCCAGGUAGCGCCGGUUUAAAGAAUCCCAAAUCUCCAUAUACAGCCCGGGAUUGGAAAAGGUACAUUACACACACCCCCCUUUCAAGUUCCUCUCGCUGGAUCUAAAAAAAAAAAAAAAAAAGCCAGCGGGGGGGGGAGGGGGCGGCUGGGGGAGGGGAGUACUCUCCGGCGAUGAAACACGCAUUGUUCCCGGGCGCCCGCCUCCCCCCGGGCCGGCCCCCGGCCCCCGCCCAUUGGCCGCGCGCGCCGCCAAUCACGCGCAUGUAAACACCUUGGCCCUCAGCCAUUCCUAUAAAACCAAUUACGGACCAAGGGGCUCCAGCAGUUUCCAGGCUCCCCUCGGCGGGGCUGAAUGAUCAAAACUGGUGGUGAGAAUUUUUCCGGGCCGUUUCUAGGCAGCCCUCCCCCUCCACCAACUCGGACCCCCCCCCCCUUCCUCCUUCUCCUCCCUUUUCCUCCCCUCCUCCCCCAGCGUCUGGGCUGAGUGAUCAAAAUAGAGGAAGAUGGUUGUCGCCGCAAUCCAGGGCUUUGCAAGGCGCGGUUUAAUGGGCCGCCUGUCAGCUUCCUGCUCGCAGGAGGAGGUGACAAGCCAAGCGGGCCGGGAAGGGCCUGGGGCCCGGCGGGCUGCACCCCACGCCCGGGCCCCGGCCCCCCACCUCCCCUGGGGCGCGCCUCCUAGAACGCGCGGUGGAGACGCGAAAACAGACAAGGGCUGCUUUUUCCCUUUCUCCCCCCCCCCCCCUUUUAAAACAAAGCAGCGAUUCAUUCCCGCUUCCCGAGCAGCGCGGUUGGGUGGGACGGGCAGGCGAGAAGGCCGUUUUCCUAGUCCCGGCCUGCGGGUCCCUCCCUGAAACGCGGUGUCAGAUGGUUACUGAUUAAUAUUUUGGAGAGGCCGCGGCGGCGGGCAGCGGCACAGGAAUUAUUCAAGGCUGGUUUCGGUUCUCUUCUGGCGACGACCGCAUCUUCGUACUCAAGGCACAGAUUACGGGUCAGCUCAAUUCGCCAGCGGCCGGAGGCUGCCUCCAAGCACCGAGCAGGACGGGAGGGAUGCUCUGCAAGCCGCGUCCGGCUGGAGGCGGCGGAGGCCUGAACGGGUCAUGGUCCCCGAAGUCACUAGGGACAGGGGACGUGGAUGGAAUAUAAGAGGGGAGAUCGACAGUCAAUCCCACCUCUGUCCCUUUCCGCCUGUGACCCCGGUCAGCUCAGUCUUCUCAUCUGUGACAUGGGCGUUGACACGAGUGUUCAGCAUGGGAACCCACCCCCGUCGUCUUCCACUGGUGCUGUCACCCGCGGCCUGGCUGAGCCGGGCACAGUGGGAGCCUCUGCAGGGCCCAGGGAAGGGGCAUGGCGGUGCCGAAGGACACGAGAAAUGGAAAGAGAGGGUUCAGCCACUCUGGCCUCCCAGGGGCGGCGAUGUGAGAACACGGCCCCAAGAUCCUUUGACGCUCCUCCUGUGGAAAGGUGGGGUUCCCGUUCCCUCCCCUUGAUGCUGGCCUCCAUGGCAGAAGGUGACGGAGUCGACAGUCCUCCCAGAACUGCCAGCUCCUGCUUUUUGCCUCUUGGGUGCUCCCUCUUGGAACCCAGCCGCCAUGCUGCGAGGAAGCCCAGAGGUCCCGAGGACAGGCCCGCGUGGAAGGCCCGGUUGUGCGUGUGUGUGUGUGUGUGUGAGCUCCUCAGAAAAGGGCAUCCAGCCCCAGUAGGUGCCCCAGCAGACGCCACGUGGAGCGGGGGUGAGCUGACCCUGCCAAGAUCGGCCCAAAUUGCAGAUUCACAAGCAAAUAAAUAAUUGUCGUCAUUGUGAGCCAGGAGCAUUGGGGUGGUGUGUUACACGGCAAUAGGUGACUAAAACGCAAGGUUCAGCUGAAAAGAGUUUCUGAGAACAUGCUUCAGGGACCUCCCAUGGGAGGUCCAGCAGUCACACGCACGUCCCAAACCUGCCCCCAUGAGCACCACUGCAGUGGUAGCUGGUACAUUUUCUUUUCUUUUUUUUAAAGUUAAUUUAAUUGCUUUUUUCUUUUGAAGAAGAAGAUUAGCCCUGAGCUAACAUCUGCUGCCAAUCCUCCUCUUUUUUUUUUGCUGAAGAAGACUGGUUCCGAGCUAACAUCCAUGCCCACCUUCCUCUACUUUAUAUGUAGGGUGCCUGCCACAGCAUGGCGUGCCAAGCAGUGCCAUGUCUGCACCCGGGAUCCCAACCGGCAAACCCCGGGCCGCCGAAGGGAACGUGCACACUUAACCGCUGUGCCACCGGGCGGGCCCAGCUGGUGAAUUUUCAACAACAGGUUCUCGGGGGUGGACGGGAGGGAAGCCCUGAUUUGUAGCAUCCACCGGUCUCUGUGGUGUAAAUAGUCCCGCCUUCGAGCUGCCACUGGACGCAGAGUUGGGAAGGGCCGGGCAGUGACGCGCCAUCAUAUACUAUUUCUACUGUACGGAUACAAUCAACAUAAACAGCCUCGAAAGCGUAGACGAGACUAAACUGUGGGAAAAUAAUUCGGAAAUGGUGAGGUUUGAGUCUUUCCCGCCUUUGUUUUCCAUAUAGUUCAUUUAACGUUAAGUUUUUAUCAUCUAAUGUUUAAUAACAGCCGCGUUUGGCAACCUGUUUACAAGAUUCCUGAAAAUUCCAGGCGGCUCUCCCAAGCUGGUGGGAGCCCGUUCCCGCACAGCCCUGGGUGGGGGCUGUUCAGCCACUUGCAGGACAGACCCAGCCCCGUCUCCCGAGCUUGCAGCUCAGUGAGGCGUCUUGAGUUUCAUUAAACCCAGAUUCCCCCAGACAGAGGGCAGGGGGUGGGCGAUGGAACCGGCCGUCGGUCUGCCCCAGGUCCCCACUUAGGUCUAGGAAUGCCCCUUCCACAGGGUCCAGCCCCGAGGACCAGGCCCCCUAUCCAGAGAGCUCCGUGGGGACAGGCGAGGAAGAGGAACCAGCAGGCUCCAUGCUGUCUGAGGCUUCUCCUAGGAAGAUUUGAGCCUUGGGGUGACGAGGCUGGGGGGCUGGAACCCUCCGGAGUCUCCUUCACUCACACGUCUGGUGGCGGACGCUGGCCGUUGGCUGGGACCUCAGCCAGAGCUGUGGGCUGGAACACCUACGUGGCCUCUCCGUGUGGCGGGGGCUUCCUCGCAGCGUGGCGGUCUCAGCUCUCCCAUGGAAGUUCAAGGUCCCAAAAGCGAGCAUCUCGGAACGAAGCUGGACCACCUUUUCUGACGGCCUCACCUCGUGUGAUGGCUGAGCUCUGUCUCCCCAAAUUUAUAUACUGAACAGCUCACCCCGGCACCUCAGAAGGCAGCCGUAUUGGGAAACAGGGUCUUUACAGAUGCAACUCGUUCAGAGGAGUCGUCCUGGAGUAGCGUGGACCCCUAAUUCAAUAUGACCGACGUCCUUGUGAAAAGGGGAAAUUCGGACGCAGAGACAGACACACACAAAGGAAGAGAGUGGAGGUGAAAGCAAAGAUCAGAAGGAUGCUUCCAAAAGCAUCAAAAGCAUCCUCCCUUCCUACGUGGUCCUCCCUUCUAGAUUCUUCUAGAAUCUUGCCAUGCCUCCAAUCGAGAGGUGGGAUCCUUGCCCCCUCCUCUGGAAUCUGGGUUUCUGGCUUGCUCGUACAAGUGGAAUAACCCAUUGAGUGACUUCUAUGGCGGCUGCUGCCUUGUUCUCUGGGACACCACCUGUUGAGUCCUGAGCCGCCAUGAGGACAUCCCACACCCUGCGGCCGCCAUGUUGUGAGGAAGCCAAGGCCACACAGAGAGGCCACAAGUAGGCGUCCUCCUCAACAGCCCCAGGUGUCCUCCCAGCCAGCUGCCAGACGUGUGUGGGAAAAUGCUUUCAUGUGGUUCUCAUCACCCCAGCCUUUUUUUUUUUUUUUUUGAGGAAGAUUAGCCCUGAGCUAACAUCCAUGCCCAUCUUCCUCUACUUUAUAUGUGGGACUCCUACCACAGCAUGGCUUGACGAGCGGUGCCAUGUCCAUGCCCAGGAUCUGAACCGGCGAACCCUGGGCUGCCGAUGUGGAACGUGCGCACGUGACCUCUGCGCCACGGGGCCGGCCCCUCACCCCAGCCUUUGAGUCAUCCCAGGCCAUCGCGAACCAUACGGCUGGCGCGGCCGCUGGAGGCACACGGGCACACACCGAUGUCCCUGCCCUCGGGGAGCCCCCAGCUCGGGGGAGACAGAGCUGAAGCAGAUGCUAUGGGGAUGAUACGGAGAAGGCCAGCCGGUCCUCGGGGUCUGCAGGAAAAGCCCCAAACAACCUGGGGUGCCGACAGCAGGGGCAUCCCAGGGCGGGGGCGGGGCGGGGGAGACAGAAGGGAGGGCUUUAAAAUUGUGUUUGUUUUCAGUUAGGGAACGUCACCCACGCUUCUAUGAAAGCUUCCAACCAGAGGAUGUGGAAUAAGGGGAAUCCCAGUGUCACAACAGGUCGCGGGGUGGCCCUCACUCAUCUUUCUCUCGGCCUAGACCUGCAGACGGGUGUGUGGGUUUGUUCCCGGCUUGCUGGGCCUCCAAAACGGAGCAGGAACGUCUUUAUUUUUCCUGUGGGUUUUUUUUUUUUUUUGGCAUGGUUACUUUUUUUUUUUUUUUUCAAAGAUUGGCACCUGAGCUGACAUCUGGUGCCAAUCUUUCUUUUUCCGGUUUUUUUCUUCUUCUCCCGAAAGCCCCCCAAUACACAGUUGUGUAUUUUUAGUUGUGGGUCCUCCUAGUUGUGGCAUGUGGGACGCCACCUCAGCAUGGCUUGAUGAGCAGUGCCAUGACCGCGCCCAGGAUUCGAACCGGUGAAACCCUGGGCCACCAAAGCGGAGCACGCAAACUUAACCACUCGGCCACGGGGCCAGCCCCUAGCAGGAACAUCUUUACCUGUCUGCAUGUCCAGAGCCACCUCCUUCUUUUUCCCAAGCCCCUCGUACUGGUCUGCUCAGGCUGCUGUAACAAACACCACGCACAGGGGCAGCUUAAAUGACAGACGUUUCUUUCUCCCGGUUCUGGAGGCAGAAAGUCCGAGACGGAGGUGUGGGCAGGGCUGCCGCCUCCUGAGGCCUCAUUCCUGGGCGUGGAGACGUUCGUCCUCUCCCCGUGUCCUCACCUGCUUGUCCCUCUGCGUGUCUGUGUCCUCAUCUCUUCUUAUAGGACCCCGGUCCUGCUGGAUUGGGGCCCCACCCCAGAGACCUCACUACCUUCAUCGCCUCUUUAUGGGCCCAGACUGCAGAGCGGGGAAACUGAGGACUCUCGAGGGAAGUGACUUGGCG
rnacentral:lncRNA from 1 species